CAUAUACUCCCUACGUCCCAAAAUUCUUGUCUUAGUUUUGUCUAGAAAUGAAUGUAUCUAAAUACUAGAACGUGACUAGAUACAUUAAUAUCUAGACAAAAUUAAGACAAGAUUUUUGGGACGGAGGGAGUACUCC
rfam:Hordeum vulgare subsp. vulgare, WGS project CAJW01000000 data, contig: morex_contig_193782